UGAAGGUGCUUUGCUUUCAGGGAAAAGCAGGUGCCCAGAAGGGAGGUCUGUGCGGAGGCAUGUCCGUGGUGGAGGACGAGCCAGUGCGUGGCGGCUGCUAUAGUAACUUGACGUCAUAAUGGCGACAGUGACGACUUAUUAUUACAGACCGUCGUGGCACUUGCAGCUCAUUAUGCGGAUGACUGAGCUCAUAUCAGGUGUCUGAAGAAGGCUGGUUCUGAGAAUAUGGUUUGCUGCGGUGGCUGCUGAAGUUCCUACUCCAGAUUUGAAGAGCAGGAGUCCUUAGGAGACGCCCAACACUUCCAUUUCUGGUGGGAUAUGAUGCCUGGCUCAAGACAGUUUAUACAUCCGAAUAAAAGAAUGUUGUAGAAUUGCACCUGUGAGGUUUACAAAAUAAUAGGGAAGCUACUUUCAUCUCAUCAUUGGAGAAGAGAUUUAGCAGGUGGAAUUUAAUUUCAUCAGCACAUGCUUUGUAGUAGCACUUGAGGCCUAUCUUAGAGAUGGCUUCCUUGUCUGAAAGCAAUGAAUUCUCCAACUUGUGGUAGGAACUUGAUCUUUAACAUGCAUUUGCAAUAAAUUUACAUAUUUUUCUAACUGUA